GUUAGGAAUAUUGGACAAUGGGCGCAAGCCUGAUCCAGCCAUGCCGCGUGAGUGAUGAAGGCCUUCGGGUUGUAAAGCUCUUUAGUCCACGAAUAUAAUGACUGUAGUGGAAGAAUAAGCCCCGGCUAACUUCGUGCCAGCAGCCGCGGUAAUACGAAGGGGGCGAGCGUUAUUCGGAAUCACUGGGCGUAAAGCGUGCGUAGGCUGUUUUGUAAGUCAGAAGUGAAAGCCCAGGGCUUAACCCUGGAAUUGCUUUUGAAACUAAAAGACUCGAAUUCGGGAGAGGAUAGCGGAAUUGUCAGUGUAGCAGUGAAAUGCGUAGAUAUUGACAGGAACACCAGUGGCGCAAGCGGCUAUCUGGACCGAUAUUGACGCUGAGGCACGAAAGCGUGGGGAGCAAACAGGAUUAGAUACCCGUGUAGUCC
rnacentral:rRNA from 1 species